UACGUAGGCAGCAAGCGUUGUUCGGAAUUACUGGGCGUAAAGAGUGUGUAGGCGGUGCUCUAAGUUCGGUGUGAAAUCUCUCGGCUCAACUGGGAGGGUGCGCCGAAAACUGGGGUGCUGGAGCGCGGGAGAGGUGAGUGGAACUGCGAGUGUAGAGGUGAAAUUCGUAGAUAUUCGCAAGAACACCAGUGGCGAAGGCGGCUCACUGGCCCGGUACUGACGCUGAGGUGCGAAAGCGUGGGGAGCAAACAGG
rnacentral:rRNA from 1 species